rnacentral:misc_RNA from 1 species
UUUCCGUAGGUGAACCUGCGGAAGGAUCAUUAAUGAGUUGUCAUGGGGUUCGAUGCUGGCAGCCAGUUUUUGGAUGCAUGUGCUUGCCCUAACAAUCAUCUUCUUCCAAACACCUGUGCACAUUUUUGAGGGAGUCUUGAGUUGGUUGCCGCUCUUGGGUGAUUUUCUCACAUUCCCUUAAAUCAUUAUACGCUGUUAACAAUGUUGAACGUGCUCUGUGCCGCAAGGCCAUUAAUAUAAUACAACUUUUAACAACGGAUCUCUUGGCUCUC